rnacentral:rRNA from 1 species
AGAGCGAACGCUGGCGGCAGGCCUAACACAUGCAAGUCGAACGGACUCUUCGGGGUUAGUGGCGGACGGGUGAGUAACACGUGGGAACGUGCCUUUAGGUUCGGAAUAGCUCCUGGAAACGGGUGGUAAUGCCGAAUGUGCCCUUCGGGGGAAAGAUUUAUCGCCUUUAGAGCGGCCCGCGUCUGAUUAGCUAGUUGGUGAGGUAAAGGCUCACCAAGGCUACGAUCAGUAGCUGGUCUGAGAGGAUGACCAGCCACAUUGGGACUGAGACACGGCCCAAACUCCUACGGGAGGCAGCAGUGGGGAAUCUUGCGCAAUGGGCGAAAGCCUGACGCAGCCAUGCCGCGUGAAUGAUGAAGGUCUUAGGAUUGUAAAAUUCUUUCAGUAGGACGAUAAUGACGGUACCUACAAGAAGAAGCCCCGGCUAAACUUCGUAGCCAGCCAAGCCGAC